rnacentral:snRNA from 1 species
ACCAUUACCUGGCAGGGGAGACACCAUGACCACGAAGGUGGUUUUCCCAGGGAGAGGCUUAUCCAUUGCACUCUGAGUGUGCUGACCCCUGCAACUUCCCCAAAUGUGGAGGAAACUGACUGCAUAAUUUGUGGUAGUGGGAGACUGCAUUUGCACUUUACCC